GAAUGGGUUCCAGAGGGUCAAACUGUGAACCAACAUUACUAUUUGAUAGUUUUGGCAACAUUGCGCGAAUGAGUUCGUAAGAAACGGUCGAUAUUGUGGAAAAACAAGUCGUGGAUCUUGCACCAGGAUAAAGCGCGAAGCGUUAUUUGGCCGCUUAAGGCACUCCAGUACUCGAACACGCGUCUUACUCACCCGACUUGGCACCCUGCGACUUUUACUUGUUUCCGAAGAUAAAGUCUGACUUAAAAGGAAUCCGGUUUGAGUCGAUGGAAGAGGUGAAACAAAAAUCGGCGGAACUCCUAAAUGGUCUUACGAAAACACACUUCCAGCACUGCCUCGAGCAAUGGAAGAAACGAAUGAAACGGUAUGUGGCGAGGGGAGGAGAGUAUAUUGU